rnacentral:rRNA from 1 species
UACGUAUGGAGCAAGCGUUAUCCGGAUUUACUGGGUGUAAAGGGAGCGCAGGCGGCUUUGCAAGUCUGAUGUGAAAGGCCGGGGCUCAACCCUGGGACUGCAUUGGAAACUGUAAAGCUAGAGUGCCGGAGAGGUAAGCGGAAUUCCUAGUGUAGCGGUGAAAUGCGUAGAUAUUAGGAGGAACACCAGUGGCGAAGGCGGCUUACUGGACGGCAACUGACGCUGAGGCUCGAAAGCGUGGGGAGCAAACAGG